AGGAGCUGGGAGGCGCUGGGGGAGGCUGUGGCUUGAGAGGCCCCAGGCCAGCCUUGGUUCCAUCUCUGCUUGAACCCAGAAGGCCCAGGUUCGGGAGCCUCUGUCUGCACCGCGGCUGGGCAGCCCAGGUCAGCAUAGCACUGGCUUCCGGCUCUCCCAGCCUGAGAGUCCUGGGGCCACUCUUGAUCUUGACGCCACGUCCAGGAGCCAGCACCCUCCUCCAGACCUGCCUUUUCCAGUAGGCUCCACCUCUGUCAGGUGGCUCGGCAAAGAGAUUAAAUAACCAACCAGGAUCAGCCGGCCUUCCCAGGAAGGUAGCUGAAGGCGUGGGCUCCGUCAGAGGAAUGGAGUCUAACGGCUUCCUCAUCUUUACGCACACCCAAGCCAAGGACUUCAGUAUCGUCAACUCCUUCUGCUUUUGAUUUCAUGCCCCCAGCACCGCGCAGCCAUGAAAUCCCAUCAAUUCUGCCUGUGGAAGUACCUCUCAGAUCCAUCUAUUCACUUAAACAACGAUUAACCCACCCAAUGACAGGGCUCCAGGCAACUCUCUCAUUUGCUGCUCAGUGUAAUUCAGUGUAAUUUUCUGGAGGGGAAUUUGGAAAUGUAUUUCAAUAAUCUUUAAAAUAGGUCUAUUGAUACUUUUGACUCAGCGGUUGCACCCUAUGAAUAAGGGGGUGGUGGUAAAAGAUAAGAACAAAGACAUUUUUAGAAAGCAAGAACAUGUACAACGACAUGUUUUAAAAUAAUAUUUAAUAAGAUGGAGUGUUGCUUAAGAUAUAAUGUUAAAUAAGAAAUGAUAUGAAACAUAUUUGUACACAGUAUGAUUCUAAUGUCAUUAAAAUAUAUGUCAGAUUCAGUGAUUAUGCAAA